UACGUAGGGUGCGAGCGUUAAUCGGAAUUGACUGGGCGUAAGCGUGCGCAGGCGGUUCGUUGUGUCGGCGGUGAAAGCCCCGGGCUCAACCUGGGAAUGGCAUUGGAAACUGGCGAGCUGGGAGUGUGGCAGAGGGGGGUGGAAUUCCGCGUGUAGCAGUGAAAUGCGUAGAGAUGCGGAGGAACACCGAUGGCGAAGGCAGCCCCCUGGGCCAACACUGACGCUCAGGCACGAAAGCGUGGGGAGCAAACAGG
rnacentral:rRNA from 1 species